GACGAACGCUGGCGGCGUGCUUAACACAUGCAAGUCGAGCGGUAAGGCCCUUUCGGGGGUACACGAGCGGCGAACGGGUGAGUAACACGUGGGUGACCUGCCCUCAGCUCUGGGAUAAGCCCGGGAAACUGGGUCUAAUACUGGAUAUGACUCCACGGUGCAUGUCGUGGGGUGGAAAGCCUUGUGCGGCUGAGGAUGGGGCCCGCGGCCUAUCAGCUUGUUGGUGGGGUGANGGCCUACCAAGGCGACGACGGGUAGCCGGCCUGAGAGGGCGACCGGCCACAC
rnacentral:rRNA from 1 species